rnacentral:rRNA from 1 species
GGCUCAGGAUGAACGCUGGCGGCGUGCUUAACACAUGCAAGUCGAACGAUGAAGCCCAGCUUGCUGGGUGGAUUAGUGGCGAACGGGUGAGUAACACGUGAGUAACCUGCCCCCGACUCUGGGAUAAGCCCGGGAAACUGGGUCUAAUACCGGAUAUUACCUCUUGCCGCAUGGCAGGUGGUGGAAAGAUUUAUCGGUGGGGGAUGGACUCGCGGCCUAUCAGCUUGUUGGUGAGGUAAUGGCUCACCAAGGCGACGACGGGUAGCCGGCCUGAGAGGGUGACCGGCCACACUGGGACUGAGACACGGCCCAGACUCCUACGGGAGGCAGCAGUGGGGAAUAUUGCACAAUGGGCGAAAGCCUGAUGCAGCGACGCCGCGUGAGGGAUGACGGCCUUCGGGUUGUAAACCUCUUUCAGUAGGGAAGAAGCGAAAUG